rnacentral:rRNA from 1 species
UNUGACUUGUGUGCAGAAGGGGAGAGUGGAAUUCCAUGUGUAGCGGUGAAAUGCGUAGAUAUAUGGAGGAACACCAGUGGCGAAAGCGACUCUCUGGUCUGUCACUGACGCUGAGGCUCGAAAGCGUGGGUAGCGAACAGGAUUAGAUACCCUGGUAGUNCACGCCGUAAACGAUGAGUGCUAGGUGUUAGGCCCUUUCCGGGGCUUAGUGCCGGAGCUAACGCAAUAAGCACUCCGCCUGGGGAGUACGACCGCAAGGUUGAAACUCAAAGGAAUUGACGGGGGCCCGCACAAGCGGUGGAGCAUGUGGUUUAAUUCGAAGCAACGCGAAGAACCUUACCAGGUCUUGACAUCCCGAUGCUAUUCUUAGAGAUAGGAAGUUACUUCGGUACAUCGGAGACAGGUGGUGCAUGGUUGUCGUCAGCUCGUGUCGUGAGAUGUUGGGUUAAGUCCCGCAACGAGCGCAACCCUUAUUGUUAGUUGCCAUCAUUAAGUUGGGCACUCUAGCGAGACUGCCGGUAAUAAACCGGAGGAAGGUGGGGAUGACGUCAAAUCAUCACGCCCCUUAUGACCUGGGCUACACACGUGCUACAAUGGUCGGUACAACGAGUUGCGAGCCGGUGACGGCAAGCUAAUCUCUGAAAGCCGAUCUCAGUUCGGAUUGGAGGCUGCAACUCGCCUCCAUGAAGUCGGAAUCGCUAGUAAUCGCGGAUCAGCACGCCGCGGUGAAUACGUUCCCGGGCCUUGUACACACCGCCCGUCACACCACGAGAGUUUGUAACACCCGAAGUCGGUGAGGUAACCU